ensembl:snoRNA
CUUGGCCCUGAAUCAAGGCUACAGUUUACUGAAACUGUUGGUUUCAAGAAGGAGCCUAAAGAAAUAUCUUUCUAUGGUCUGCUGGCCAUUGCAGAAAUUUGUAAGUCUAAUGGUUAAUUCAUUAGAAAGAAACAUCU